rnacentral:lncRNA from 1 species
UGUUUGGGAUCAUCACUAGGAGUGAAUAUAGCAAGGUUAUGGAGGUGCAUGCUUCUUUUUAGGUGUGACAUAGUCUUUGAGAUAUCCUGGCAUUCUUCUAUUUCUUGGCCCUAACUCUUCAUGAUCAUCAUAACCCUCUUCUUCAUAUUCUCCAUCUUGACUAUAAAGUUCAUGCUCAUUCUAAUUUUGAUGUUUCUCAAAACCUUGAUCAUUUGCAUUAUUUUCAUUUUCCUCAUUAUUACUACCACGAUCACUUGAGCUAUCAAUUACAGGAUCCUCAUCAUUUUCUUCCUCAACACUGGUGUAAUAUAUAGGAUUCUCAGAUAUAACAUUCUUAUCCCAACUCCAUUGCUUAAAUUCGUCAAAUUUCAAAUCUCUGCUCACAAUUGUUAAGAAUAUAGAUAGUUAAUUAGUUAAUCAACUAGAGUUAGUUGAUAGGUUAUCAAGUUGGUUAAGAAGUUAGAAAGUUAGUUAGAGAGUUAGUUACUCCAAAUAGUCUUAUAAAUAAGCUAUUCUAUUGUACAUUUUAUUCAUUCUUUUAUCAAUCUACAUGCAUUCAAUAUGAAUUCUUAUGGGUAUUUUCCUCAUGAAUACUCUUAUGCACUCUAUCUUGCUGACAUCUAUGAUCUUUAUCCCUUCGAUUCCAUGACUCAUAACAUGGUAUUAGAGCGAUACCCGAGGAAUGAAGAUUGUGCUUCCGCUUACGAUUUUGAAAGUUGCAAAGAAGAUGAAU